rnacentral:piRNA from 1 species
GAAUUUGGGCGGGCAUGUGGGUUUUUAAA